CACGUAGGCGGCAUAGCAAGUUAAGGGUGAAAUCCCGGGGCUCAACCUCGGAACUGCUCUUAAAACUGCUAAGCUAGAGAUAGUCAGAGGCGGGUGGAAUUCCUGGUGUAGAGGUGAAAUUCGUAGAUAUCAGGAGGAACACCGGUGGCGAAGGCGGCCCGCUGGGGCUAUUCUGACGCUAAGGUGCGAAAGCGUGGGGAGCGAACG
rnacentral:rRNA from 1 species